AUGCAAGACUACUUCGCGGACAAUCCAACAUAUCCGAUGCACCUUUUCCGGAGAAGGUAACGAAUGCGCCGAUCACUCUUUGUAAAAAUAGUGCAAGCUUGCGAGGCCAAUUGGCGGUAUUUUACUCAAAGAAGAAAUGUCGCGGGCUUGAAUUGAUUUAGUGCAGAUAAAAAAAUUCGACAGCUAUGCGGGUAA
rnacentral:rRNA from 1 species